rnacentral:rRNA from 1 species
GCUCAAAUUUAAAAUCUGGCAGCAUUUAGUUGUCCGAAUUGUACCCUAGAGAAGUGUUACCUGCGCUGGUCCGUGUAUAAGUCUCCUGGGAUGGAGCUUCACAGAGGGUGAGAAUCCCGUUUAUGACAUGGAUCACCAGUGCAUUGUGGUAUGCUCUCAAAGAGUUGAGUUGUUUGGGAAUGCAGCUCUAAAUGGGUGGUAAAUUCCAUCUAAAGCUAAAUAUUGGCGAGAGACCGAUAGCGAACAAGUACCGUGAGGGAAAGAUGAAAAGAACUUUGGAAAGAGAGUUAAACAGUAUGUGAAAUUGUUGAAAGGGAAACGCUUGAAGUCAGUCANGUUGGUCACCGAUCAACUCAGUUAUUUUGCUGUGUGCAUUUCGUGGUCAAUGGGUCAACAUCAGUUUUGACUACUGGAAAAAGACUUUGGGAAAGUGGCACCUUUGGGUGUGUUAUAGCCCUUCGUCAUACACAGUAGUUGGGACUGACGAUAGCAGCGCGCCGCAACGGCCGGGGUUUUCCACCACGUUCGCGCUUAGGAUGUUGGC